UGGGGAAUUUUGAACAAUGGGGGAAACCCUGAUGCAGCGACGCCGCGUGAUUUAGAAGGCCUUCGGGUUGUAAAAAUCUUUUGUAUAGAAAGAAAAUGACAGUACUAUACGAAUAAGGACCGGCUAAUUACGUGCCAGCAGCCGCGGUAAUACGUAAGGUCCGAGCGUUGUCCGGAAUCAUUGGGCGUAAAGGGUACGUAGGCGGGUAAGCAAGUUAGAAGUGAAAUCCUAUAGCUUAACUAUAGUACGCUUUUAAAACUGCUCAUCUUGAGGUAUGGAAGGGAAAGUGGAAUUCCUAGUGUAGCGGUGAAAUGCGCAGAUAUUAGGAGGAAUACCGGUGGCGAAGGCGACUUUCUGGCCAUAACCUGACGCUGAGGUACGAAAGCGUGGGUAGCAAACAGG
rnacentral:rRNA from 1 species